UGGGGAAUAUUGCACAAUGGGCGAAAGCCUGAUGCAGCAACGCCGCGUGGAGGAUGAAGGCCUUCGGGUUGUAAACUCUUGUCUUCUGGGACGAUAAUGACGGUACCAGAGGAGGAAGCCACGGCUAACUACGUGCCAGCAGCCGCGGUAAUACGUAGGUGGCAAGCGUUGUCCGGAUUUACUGGGCGUAAAGGAUGCGUAGGCGGAUAUUUAAGUGGGAUGUGAAAUACCCGGGCUCAACCUGGGUGCUGCAUUCCAACUGGAUAUCUGGAGGGCGGGAGAGGAAAGUGGAAUUCCUAGUGUAGCGGUGAAAUGCGUAGAGAUUAGGAAGAACACCAGUGGCGAAGGCGACUUUCUGGACCGUAACUGACGCUGAGGCAUGAAAGCGUGGGGAGCAAACA
rnacentral:rRNA from 1 species